rnacentral:rRNA from 1 species
UACGGGGGGGGCAAGCGUUGUUCGGAAUUACUGGGCGUAAAGGGCUCGUAGGCGGCCAACUAAGUCAGACGUGAAAUCCCCAGGCUCAACCUGGGAACUGCGUCUGAUACUGGAUGGCUUGAAUCCGGGAGAGGGAUGCAGAAUUCCAGGUGUAGCGGUGAAAUGCGUAGAUAUCUGGAGGAAUACCGGUGGCGAAGGCGACUUCCUGGCCUGUUCUUGACGCUGAGGCGCGAAAGCUAGGGGAGCAAACGGG